rnacentral:rRNA from 1 species
UACAGAGGUCUCAAGCGUUGUUCGGAUUCAUUGGGCGUAAAGGGUGCGUAGGCGGCGGCGUAAGUCGGGUGUGAAAUCCCAGGGCUCAACCCUGGAACUGCAUUCGAUACUGCGUCGCUGGAGGACUGGAGAGGAGACUGGAAUUCACGGUGUAGCAGUGAAAUGCGUAGAGAUCAUGAGGAAGACCAGUGGCGAAGGCGGGUCUCUGGACAGUUCCUGACACUGAGACACGAAGGCCAGGGGAGCAAACGGG